rnacentral:rRNA from 1 species
GAUGAACGCUAGCGGCAGGCUUAAUACAUGCAAGUCGAGGGGCAGCAUGACUGUAGCAAUACAGUUGAUGGCGACCGGCAAACGGGUGCGGAACACGUACAGGACCUUCCUUCGAGCGGGGAAUAGCCCAGAGAAAUUUGGAUUAAUACCCCAUAGUACAACGGAGUGGCAUCACUUUGUUGUUAAAGAUUUAUCACUUGAAGAUGGCUGUGCGGCUGAUUAGGUAGUUGGCGGGGUAACGGCCCACCAAGCCUGCGAUCAGUAACUGGUGUGAGAGCACGACCAGUCACACGGGCACUGAGACACGGGCUCGACUCCUACGGGAGGCAGCAGUAAGGAAUAUUGGUCAAUGGACGAAAGUCUGAACCAGCCAUGCCGCGUGGAGGAUGAAGGUCCUCUGGAUUGUAAACUUCUUUUAUAUGGGACGAAAAAAGGGUUUUCUAACUCGUCUGACGGUACCAUAUGAAUAAGCACCGGCUAACUCCGUGCCAGCAGCCGCGGUAAAAC